rnacentral:rRNA from 1 species
GACGAACGCUGGCGGCGUGCUUAACACAUGCAAGUCGAACGGAAAGGCCCUGCUUUUGUGGGGUGCUCGAGUGGCGAACGGGUGAGUAACACGUGAGUAACCUGCCCUUGACUUUGGGAUAACUUCAGGAAACUGGGGCUAAUACCGGAUAGGAGCUCCUGCUGCAUGGUGGGGGUUGGAAAGUUUCGGCGGUUGGGGAUGGACUCGCGGCUUAUCAGCUUGUUGGUGGGGUAGUGGCUUACCAAGGCUUUGAAGGGUAGCCGGCCUGAGAGGGUGACCGGCCACAUGGGGAUGGAGAGCCGCCCGAGCCCCAUCGGGGGGCCGGCGGGGGGAAUUUUGGAAGAUGGGGGGGAGGCCGGAUGCAGCACCGCCGGGUGGGGGAGGCGGGCUGUCGGUUUGAAACCCGCUUUCGCCGGGGACGAAGCGGGGGGGAGGUUAGGGGGUAAAGAAGCCCCGGCAAACUCGGUG